rnacentral:lncRNA from 1 species
AGCCGGAAUUUUUCGUCACGAGUCACGUUUUCCCCGUCUUUCCAUUCAACGGUGAGUUCCACCGGCGGUGAUUAGGGUGAACUCAUCCCCGACAUCGCGGAUGCCCUUCCUUGGGGAACCAACUACUUGGACCGCACGCUGUCAGCCUAUCAACGUGCCUACGCAUGCCUCCACCGGUGCGAGGCUGGGAAACUCACCCAA